GAAGCAUUUUUUAGCCAUCCUUUUCUUGAACAAGUUCCAGUGAAAAAAUCCUGCCCAGUUCCAGUGCCCGUGUAUGCUGGCUCCGUCUCUGGCAGCUCCUGUGGCAGCUCUCCAUCCUGUCGCUUUGCCUCUCCACCAUCCCUUUCAGAUAUGCAGCAUAUUCAGGAAGAAAACUUAUCCUCCCCACCAUUGGGUCCUCCCAACUAUCUACAAGUGUCCAAAGAUUCUGCCAGGACUAGUAGCAAGAACUCUUCUUGUGACACGGAU